rnacentral:rRNA from 1 species
GGCAGGCCUAACACAUGCAAGUCGAACGGUAACAGGAAGCAGCUUGCUGCUUUGCUGACGAGUGGCGGACGGGUGAGUAAUGUCUGGGAAACUGCCUGAUGGAGGGGGAUAACUACUGGAAACGGUAGCUAAUACCGCAUAACGUCGCAAGACCAAAGAGGGGGACCUUCGGGCCUCUUGCCAUCGGAUGUGCCCAGAUGGGAUUAGCUAGUAGGUGGGGUAACGGCUCACCUAGGCGACGAUCCCUAGCUGGUCUGAGAGAAUGACCAGCCACACUGGAACUGAGACACGGUCCAGACUCCUACGGGAGGCAGCAGUGGGGAAUAUUGCACAAUGGGCGCAAGCCUGAUGCAGCCAUGCCGCGUGUAUGAAGAAGGCCUUCGGGUUGUAAAGUACUUUCAGCGGGGAGGAAGGGAGUAAAGUUAAUACCUUUGCUCAUUGACGUUACCCGCAGAAGAAGCACCGGCUAACUCCGUGCCA